rnacentral:rRNA from 1 species
ACUCCUACGGGAGGCAGCAGUGGGGAAUUUUGCGCAAUGGGCGAGAGCCUGACGCAGCAACGCCGCGUGAGUGAUGAAGGCUUUCGGGUCGUAAAGCUCUGUCGAGGGGAAAGAAAUGUAUUGUGGUUAAUACCUGCGAUACUUGACGGUACCCCUAAAGGAAGCACCGGCUAACUCCGUGCCAGCAGCCGCGGUAAUACGGGGGGUGCAAGCGUUGUUCGGAAUUAUUGGGCGUAAAGCGCGUGUAGGCGGUUUGUUAAGUCUGUUGUGAAAGCCCUGGGCUCAACCCAGGAAGUGCACUGGAAACUGGCAGACUUGAAUACGGGAGAGGGUAGUGGAAUUCCUGGUGUAGGAGUGAAAUCCGUAGAUAUCAGGAGGAACACCGGUGGCGAAGGCGGCUACCUGGACCGAUAUUGACGCUGAGACGCGAGAGCGUGGGUAGCAAACAGGAUUAGAUACCCUGGUAGUCCACGCCGUAAACGAUGAGUACUAGGUGUUGCGGGUAUUGACCCCUGCAGUGCCGCAGCUAACGCAUUAAGUACUCCGCCUGGGAAGUACGGUCGCAAGGCUAAAACUCAAAGGAAUUGACGG